GACGAACGCUGGCGGCGUGCCUAAUACAUGCAAGUAGAACGCUGAAGAGAGGAGCUUGCUCUUCUUGGAUGAGUUGCGGACGGGUGAGUAACGAGUAGGUAACCUGCCUGGUAGGGGGGGAUAACUAUUGGAAACGAUAGCUAAUACCGCAUAAAAUUGAUUAUUGCAUGAUACUUAAUUGAAAGAUGCAACUGCAUAACUACGAGAUGGAUCUGCGUGGUAUUAGGUAGAUGGUGAGGUAACGGCUCACCAAGGAGACGAUACAUGGCCGACCUGGGAGGGGGAUGGGCCACACUGGGACUGGGACACGGCCCAGAAGCCUACGGGGGGCAGCAGUAGGGAAUCAUCGGCAAUGGGGGGAACGCUGACCGAGCAACGCCGCGAGAGUUGAGAAGGUUUUCGGGUCGGAAAGCACUGUUGUAUGGGAAGAACGGGUGUGAGAGUGAAAAGUUCACAAUGUGACGGUACCUUACCAGAAAGGGACGGCUAACUACGUG
rnacentral:rRNA from 1 species